rnacentral:rRNA from 1 species
AAAGUUGUCACAAAAUUGGAAGAAGCAACUGUUUAACAAAAACACAGGUCUCUGCUAAUUCGCAAGAAGAUGUAUAGGGGCUGACGCGUGCCCGGUGCUGCAAGGUUAAGGGGAGGCGUCUUGGCGCUGAACUCAAGCCCCAGUAAACGGCGGCCGUA